GACGAACGCUGGCGGCGUGCCUAAUACAUGCAAGUUGAGCGAUGAAGCUUGGUGCUUGCACCAAUUUGAAGAGCAGCGAACGGGUGAGUAACGCGUGGGGAAUCUGCCUUUGAGCGGGGGACAACAUUUGGAAACGAAUGCUAAUACCGCAUAACAACUUUAAACAUAAGUUUUAAGUUUGAAAGAUGCAAUUGCAUCACUCAAAGAUGAUCCCGCGUUGUAUUAGCUAGUUGGUGAGGUAAAGGCUCACCAAGGCGAUGAUACAUAGCCGACCUGAGAGGGUGAUCGGCCACAUUGGGACUGAGACACGGCCCAAACUCCUACGGGAGGCAGCAGUAGGGAAUCUUCGGCAAUGGACGAAAGUCUGACCGAGCAACGCCGCGUGAGUGAAGAAGGUUUUCGGAUCGUAAAACUCGGUUGGUAGAGAAGAACGUUGGUGAGAGUGGAAAGCUCAUCAAGUGACGGUAACUACCCAGAAAGGGACGGCUAACUACGUG
rnacentral:rRNA from 1 species